rnacentral:rRNA from 1 species
UACGUAGGGUGCAAGCGUUGUCCGGAAUUAUUGGGCGUAAAGAGCUCGUAGGCGGUCUGUCGCGUCGGCUGUGAAAACUCGGGGCUCAACUCCGAGCUUGCAGUUGAUACGGGCAGGCUAGAGUUCGGCAGGGGAGACUGGAAUUCCUGGUGUAGCGGUGAAAUGCGCAGAUAUCAGGAGGAACACCGGUGGCGAAGGCGGGUCUCUGGGCCGAUACUGACGCUGAGGAGCGAAAGCGUGGGGAGCGAACGGG